GUCCCGCCUGCCCUGUGACAAAUGUUUAACGGCCGCGGUAUUUUGACCGUGCAAAGGUAGCGCAAUCACUUGUCUUUUAAAUGAAGACCUGUAUGAAUGGCAUGACGAGGGCUUAACUGUCUCCUUUUUCCAGUCAAUGAAAUUGAUCUUCCCGUGCAGAAGCGGGAAUAUAACCAUAAGACGAGAAGACCCUAUGGAGCUUUAGACAAAGACAGUUCUUGUUAAGCACUUCAAAAUAAAGAAAUAAACNUAAAAGAACCCUGCCCUGNCUGUCUUUGGUUGGGGCGACCACGGGGAGAUAAAUAACCCCCACGCGGACUGAGAAUACAAUUCUCACAACCAAGAGUUACAACUCUAAUCAACAGAAAUUCUGACCUUNAAGAUCCGGCAGUGCCGAUCAACGGACCGAGUUACCCUAGGGAUAACAGCGCAAUCCCCUUUUAGAGUCCAUAUCGACAAGGGGGUUUACGACCUCGAUGUUGGAUCAGGACAUCCUAAUGGUGCAGCAGCUAUUAAGGG
rnacentral:rRNA from 1 species